rnacentral:rRNA from 1 species
AGUGAACGCUGGCGGUAGGCCUAACACAUGCAAGUCGAACGGCAGCACAGUAAGAGCUUGCUCUUACGGGUGGCGAGUGGCGGACGGGUGAGGUAUACAUCGGAAUCUACUUUUUCGUGGGGGAUAACGUAGGGAAACUUACGCUAAUACCGCAUACGACCUACGGGUGAAAGCAGGGGAUCUUCGGACCUUGCGCGAUUGAAUGAGCCGAUGUCGGAUUAGCUAGUUGGCGGGGUAAAGGCCCACCAAGGCGACGAUCCGUAGCUGGUCUGAGAGGAUGAUCGGCCACACUGGAGCUGAGACACGGACCAGACUCCUGCGGGAGGCAGCAGUGGGGAAUGUUGGGCAGUGGGCGCAAGCCUGAUCCAGCCAUACCGCGUGGGUGAAGAAGGCCUUCGGGUUGUAAAGCCCUUUUGUUGGGAAAGAAAAGCAGCAGGUUAAUACCCCGCUGUUCUGACGGUACCCAAAGAAUAAGCACCGGCUAACUUCGUG